CAUUUUAAUUUAUAGAUAAGCAAGAAGCCAAGGCAUACUCGAAAGAUAUUUCCUCUUAUUGUGGACGGUUGCUGGAGGAAACUGAAGAUGAGUUAACAGAAUUGAUAAAGAA